AUUGAACGCUGGCGGCAUGCCUUACACAUGCAAGUCGAACGGCAGCACGGACUUCGGUCUGGUGGCGAGUGGCGAACGGGUGAGUAAUGUAUCGGAACGUACCCUUCAGUGGGGGAUAACUAUCCGAAAGGAUAGCUAAUACCGCAUAUUCUCUGAGGAGGAAAGCGGGGGAUCGCAAGACCUCGCGCUGAUGGAGCGGCCGAUAUCAGAUUAGCUAGUUGGUGGGGUAAAGGCCUACCAAGGCGACGAUCUGUAGCGGGUCUGAGAGGAUGAUCCGCCACACUGGGACUGAGACACGGCCCAGACUCCUACGGGAGGCAGCAGUGGGGAAUUUUGGGCAAUGGGGGCAACCCUGAUCCAGCCAUGCCGCGUGAGUGAAGAAGGCCUUCGGGUUGUAAAGCUCUUUCGGCCGGGAAGAAAUCGCGUGAGUUAAUACCUUGCGUGGAUGACGGUACCGGAAUAAGAAGCACCGGCUAACUACGUGCCAGCAGCCGCCGUAA
rnacentral:rRNA from 1 species